rnacentral:rRNA from 1 species
GAUGCCCUUUGGCGGCGUGCUUAACACAUGCAAGUCGAACGGGAAAUAUUUCAUUGAGACUUCGGUGGAUUUGAUCUAUUUCUAGUGGCGGACGGGUGAGUAACGCGUGGGUAACCUGCCUUAUACAGGGGGAUAACAGUCAGAAAUGGCUGCUAAUACCGCAUAAGCGCACAGAGCUGCAUGGCUCAGUGUGAAAAACUCCGGUGAUAUAAGAUGGACCCGCGUUGGAUUAGCUUGUUGGCGGGGUAACGGCCCACCAAGGCGACAAUCCAUAGCCGGCCUGAGAGGGUGAACGGCCACAUUGGGACUGAGACACGGCCCAGACUCCUACGGGAGGCAGCAGUGGGGAAUAUUGCACAAUGGGGGAAACCCUGAUGCAGCGACGCCGCGUGAAGGAAGAAGUAUCUCGGUAUGUAAACUUCUAUCAGCAGGGAAGAUAGUGACGGUACCUGACUAAGAAGCCCCGGCUAACUACGUGCCAGCGGCCGCGGUAAUACGUAGGGGGCAAGCGUUAUCCGGAUUUACUGGGUGUAAAGGGAGCGUAGACGGUGUGGCAAGUCUGAUGUGAAAGGCAUGGGCUCAACCUGUGGACUGCAUUGGAAACUGUCAUACUUGAGUGCCGGAGGGGUAAGCGGAAUUCCUAGUGUAGCGGUGAAAUGCGUAGAUAUUAGGAGGAACACCAGUGGCGAAGGCGGCUUACUGGACGGUAACUGACGUUGAGGCUCGAAAGCGUGGGGAGCUC